UUAUGGCUUCCAAAGGUACCGGAUGAGCUUUCAAGAGGUGCUUACCUGAAUGAAGAGAGCAUCUACAUUGGCAAGAGUACUCCUCCAGCUGUGAUAAAACUAUACCAAGAAGAGUACCAAAAGGACCUGUCUUUGUUCCUGACGCUGCGAUUCAAUGAACUUGUACGUGGUGGCCAUAUGGUUCUAACAUUUCUAGGCAGAAAGAGCAAAGACAUGUUGUUACAUGGUGAAGCAAGCAGCAUGUGGGACUUGCUCGCCCAAGCUCUUCUCUCUCUAGUGCUGAAGGGCCUUGUGGAGAAGGAGAAGCUGGUCUCUUUCAACCUUCCAUUUUAUGCUCCAUCUAUGGACGAAGUGAAGGCUGUGGUUGAGGAGAACAAUCUCUUCAAUGUGGAACACAUGAGUGUGUUUGAAUCAAGCUGGGAUCCACAAGACGACGACACAAACGAUGAUGUCGUGUUGGGCUGCAGCAGUAGUGGUUUUUAUGUUUCCAGGUGCAUAAGGGCGGUGGCGGAACCGCUGAUUAAGAAACACUUCGGAGAGGCCAUUCUUGAUGAUCUGUUUAUGGUUUAUGCCAGCAUGAUUUCAAAGCACCUCAAGAAAGCGAAGGCCAAGUAUCCUAUAAUUAUCAUCUAUUUGAAGGCCAAGCACUAA
rnacentral:rRNA from 1 species